rnacentral:misc_RNA from 1 species
UCUCCGUGGGUGAACCUGCGGAGGGAUCAUUACAGAGUUCAUGCCCUACCGGGUAGAUCUCCCACCCUAUGUUAUUAUUACUUUGUUGCUUUGGCGGGCCGUUAGGCUCCGGCCCGACUACCGGCCCCGGCUGGUAAGCGCCCGCCAGAGGACCCAAAACCCUGAAUAUUAGUGUCGUCUGAGUACUAUAUAAUAGUUAAAACUUUUAACAACGGAUCUCUUGGUUCUG